UACAUGGGGUGCAAACGUUGUUCGGAAUUAUUGGGCGUAAAGCGCACGUAGGCGGUUCGUUAAGUCGGAUGUGAAAGCCCUCGGCUCAACUGAGGAAGUGCACCCGAAACUGGCGAGCUUGAGUACGAAAGAGGAUCGCGGAAUUCCCGGUGUAGAGGUGAAAUUCGUAGAUAUCGGGAGGAACACCGGUGGCGAAGGCGGCGAUCUGGGUCGAUACUGACGCUGAGGUGCGAAAGCGUGGGGAGCAAACAGG
rnacentral:rRNA from 1 species